ACUGUUUAUUAGGUGGUUAUGAUAUUGAAAUAGUUUUGUUUUGAAUGAAGAGUUAAAACUGUUAAAUAUUCAUUCGUCUGCGCUUCCCACUGUAUGAUUUAAUGUAUUUUACUAAAAUUACUUUCUUCUUAAUUUUAUAUUUCUUCAGAUAUUUUUAUGGUGAAAAAAGGCUGAUUGAAUCUGUAAAAUUUUAGUAUCCUUGGUUUACAUAAUUCAAUGAAAAAAUGCUUGUUUCCUUCUAUUUGUAUUCUUCCAGGUGUGCAUAUGCAAUAAUUUUAAUUUGUCCACUGGGCAUCUAUUUCUACAUAUAAAGUAAUUUUAAAUUGUCCACUUGACAAUAUUUUUUAUUAAGUUGAGAGGUUGGUAGCUUCAAUUUUAAUGAUUUUUGGCCACCUGGCAGUUCUUUCACAAGAGCUUCUUUCUACUUCAAAUUUUAUAUAAAUUUGCAUUCCUGAUGUCUGGUUUCAUUCUGUUCCCCACAAAAAGGAAAAGACUGCCAAAUGGGGGAAACAUUCAUUCAUCCGUCUCCCUUGAGUAAUCAAUUUUGAUUCAAGGGUGGUAACAAAGAGAAUGGGAUGUGAGUUGCACAAUUUUAUUGUGGAUCACUUUCAAACCAAUCACAAAGGAAAUUGAUUACUUAAUUUCUCAAUUCAAAAAUACUUGUGUUUUGUAUUAGACCAAAUGCAGAGUAAAUGUUAUGCAAAAUAUGAUGGAGCUAUUAUUCUAAAAUUUCUUACUUCUGUCCCUUACUUUUUUUGCUGUGCUCUUGUCUUUUCUUCACUGCAAUUUGAAACUUCUCAGUUUAUAAUUCUGUUGUCUA
rnacentral:misc_RNA from 1 species